rnacentral:tRNA from 1 species
GCCUGGGUGGUCAGUUGGUUAGGCGUCUGACUUCGGCUCAGGUCAUGAUCUCACCGUUUGUGGGUUCGAGCCCCACGUUGGGCU